UGGCGGACUGGUGAGUUACACGUGGUGAUCUACCCUUGAGAUGGGGAUAGCCGUUAGAAAUAGCGGGUAAUCCGAAUACACUCAUUUUCAUAAAGGGAGAUGAGGAAAGGAAGCUAUGGCUUCGCUCGAGGAUGAGCUUGCGUCCCAUUAGCUAGUUGGUGAGGUAAGAGCCCACCAAGGCGACGAUGGGUAUCCGGCCUGAGAGGGUGAACGGACACAUUGGGACUGAGAUACGGCCCAAACUCCUACGGGAGGCAGCAGUCUAAGAAUAUUCCGCAAUGGACGGAGGUCUGACGGAGCGACGCCGCGUGGAUGAAGAAGGCUGAAAAGUUGUAAAAUCCUUUUGCUGAUGAAGAAUAAGGGUAGGAGGGAAUGCCUA
rnacentral:rRNA from 1 species